GCCCCUGUAGCUCAGUUGGUUAGAGCGCUGCACCGGAAUCGCAGGGCCGUAGGUUCAAUUCCUACCAGAGGAC
rnacentral:tRNA from 1 species